rnacentral:misc_RNA from 1 species
UCCGAGUUGACCCCGGCAGUCUCCCAUGAGUCCCCACCAUAACGUGCUGGCAACACAGGAUAAGGGUUGCGCUCGUUGCGGGACUUAACCCAACAUCUCACGACACGAGCUGACGACAACCAUGCACCACCUGUAACCCAGCCCCGAAGGGAGGCCACAUCUCUGCAGCUUUCUAGGCUAUGUCAAAUCCAGGUAAGGUUCUUCGCGUUGCAUCGAAUUAAGCCGCAUGCUCCGCCGCUUGUGCGGGCCCCCGUCAAUUCCUUUGAGUUUUAGCCUUGCGGCCGUACUCCCCAGGCGGGGCGCUUAAAGCGUUAGCUACGGCACAGAGACCGUGAAUAAGUCCCCACACCUAGCGCCCAACGUUUACAGCAUGGACUAC